UUCAUCCAUAGCUUGUUCAGAAUAUGCAGUUCUAGGUUCAUUAACAAGACUAGGAGGUACGACCGUAGCCGUAGUAUUUGUGUUAGUUGCAACAUUUUCUUCGUCUAAUUUUCUCUUCUUAGACUGCACCGCCGUCAGACAAUCAGUCGUUGAUUUGGCUUUCAUCGUCUUGUGAUCGGAUAUAGCUAUUACAUUACCAAUGUUAUUUCUGAUAAAAGAUUUCAUGGAGUGAAUCAAGGAAAAGUUAUCCAAGGAUUUCCUGUAACUUUGAGUACAUUUGUAUUUGUGUUAGUGUUACAGAUGGUACAGUACUGGGACGCGACGUGUUUCACUUGCGGAUUUGUGCUUGUCCGACACGAGAUUUAAAGACAGACGAACAAGCUAACUCUAAGAAGAGAAGAUUAAAACGCAAAAGAUAUUCAACUGAGACUCAGAUCGCAAAAAUACCAAAACUAGUUGACCCAGAGCCUCAUGUGUCCAACUUAAAUGAAGUUUACAACAUUAAGGUAGUUGGACGUCAGUUGUACUUGUUCAUGAUGAAGAUCAUGCAGUUUUACUCCAGCACCCACCUGAACAUUCCUGACGCUCCAUGUCAACAAAACGAAAACACGAUGGUACACCAAGAGCAGGAUGUGCUCAUGAGAAACAUGUAUUCUAAUAAUCUGAAGAAGCUCAAAGAAAAGCUGAAGAACUUGAGAGAAGAAAGCAAACAGGGGAGUGAGCAGAAAAGCAUCGAAAUUAUAGAAAUAGAAAGCCCAGAAAACUCAGAAAAAGAAAAACAGGGAAGCCCAGAAAAUACAGAAAAAGGAAACACUAAAAAAAAGAAAACAAUCCUAUAGAAGAAUAACUAAACCUAAUCAAAGACAACAACCCUAUAGAAGAGCCACUAAACCUAAUCAAAGAUAACAAACCUGUAUCAUUACGUACGGUGAAAAGAAACAAACCAUAUCGUCACAUUCCAUUUGUACAUGUCACAAGGGAACCUCGAGAACCUCUUGUUACUCUCAAGAAAUUCUGAGUUAAGUAACACAUGUAUGUAAAUAGGGUUUAGCUAAAGUAGGGUCCAAUAUUUUAAAUAUAUUUUUCGAAACGUUUUUAAAGUGUUAUAUAAUAAAUGUGUUUGAACAAAGUUAAACGGAAAAGAAACUUGCACAUAGUUUGUGCAAGAAACUGGGGUCAGGAUAUGCAAAGAGUUUGUCACAGGCAGGAUCUACACACAGUUUAACCGGAGAAGAAACUGGGGUCAGGAUUUGCACAGAGUUUGUCAGGUGGGUUCAAGAUUUGCACAG